rnacentral:rRNA from 1 species
AACGAACGCUGGCGGCAUGCCUAACACAUGCAAGUCGAACGAGAUCUUCGGGUCUAGUGGCGCACGGGUGCGUAACCCGUGGGAAUCUGCCCAUUGGUCCGGAAUAACAGUUGGAACCGACUGCUAAUACCGGAUGAUGUCGAAAGUCGAAAGAUGUAUGGCAAAAGGGUUGGCCCGCGUUGGAUUAGGCAGUUGGUGGGGUAAUGGCGCACCAAGCCGACGAUCCAUAGCUGGUUUGAGAGGAUGAUCAGCCACACUGGGACCGACACAAGGCCCGAACGUCUACGGGUGGCAACAGUGGUGAUGCUUAGACAAAGCGGGAGACCAGGAUCUAGCCACGCCUUGUGAUCAAUGAAGGCAUUAGGGGUGUAAAGAUCUUUCAGGUGGGAAGAAAAUGACUGUACCACCAGAAGAAGCCACGGCUAACUCCGUGCCAGCAGCCGCGGUAA